CAGUCGCCGCGGUAAUACAGAGGGUGCGAGCGUUAAUCGGAUUUACUGGGCGUAAAGCGUGCGUAGGCGGCUUCUUAAGUCGGAUGUGAAAUCCCUGAGCUUAACUUAGGAAUUGCAUUCGAUACUGGGAAGCUAGAGUAUGGGAGAGGAUGGUAGAAUUCCAGGUGUAGCGGUGAAAUGCGUAGAGAUCUGGAGGAAUACCGAUGGCGAAGGCAGCCAUCUGGCCUAAUACUGACGCUGAGGUACGAAAGCAUGGGGAGCAAACAGGAUUAGAGACCCCCGUAGUCCCUGUCUCUUAUAA
rnacentral:rRNA from 1 species